rnacentral:rRNA from 1 species
AGUGGCGGACGGGUGAGUAACGCGUGAGAAUCUGCCUUGGGGUCGGGGACAACCACUGGAAACGGUGGCUAAUACCGGAUAAGCCGAUUGGUGAAAGAUUUAUUGCCCGAAGAGAAGCUCGCGUCUGAUUAGCUAGUUGGUGAGGUAAGAGCUCACCAAGGCAGCGAUCAGUAGCUGGUCUGAGAGGACGAUCAGCCACACUGGGACUGAGACACGGCCCAGACUCCUACGGGAGGCAGCAGUGGGGAAUUUUCCGCAAUGGGCGAAAGCCUGACGGAGCAAGACCGCGUGAGGGAGGAAGGCUCUUGGGUUGUAAACCUCUUUUCUCAGGGAAGAAGCUCUGACGGUACCUGAGGAAUCAGCCUCGGCUAACUCCGUGCCAGCAGCCGCGGUAAUACGGAGGAGGCAAGCGUUAUCCGGAAUUAUUGGGCGUAAAGCGUCCGCAGGUGGCGAUUCAAGUCUGCUGUCAAAGCACGGGGCUUAACUCCGUAAAGGCAGUGGAAACUGAAUAGCUAGAGUGCCGUAGGGGUAGAGGGAAUUCCCGGUGUAGCGGUGAAAUGCGUAGAGAUCGGGAAGAACAUCGGUGGCGAAAGCGCUCUACUGGACGGCAACUGACACUCAGGGACGAAAGCUAGGGGAGCGAAUGGGAUUAGAUACCCC